rnacentral:rRNA from 1 species
UACGUAGGUGGCAAGCGUUAUCCGGAAUUAUUGGGCGUAAAGAGCGCGCAGGUGGUUAAUUAAGUCUGAUGUGAAAGCCCACGGCUUAACCGUGGAGGGUCAUUGGGAACUGGUUGACUUGAGUGUAGAAGAGGGAAGUGGAAUUCCAUGUGUAGCGGUGAAAUGCGUAGAGAUAUGGAGGAACACCAGUGGCGAAGGCGGCUUCCUGGUCUGCAACUGACACUGAGGCGCGAAAGCGUGGGGAGCAAACAGG